rnacentral:rRNA from 1 species
AUUGAACGCUGGCGGCAGGCCUAACACAUGCAAGUCGAGCGGAUGAAGGGAGCUUGCUCCUGGAUUCAGCGGCGGACGGGUGAGUAAUGCCUAGGAAUCUGCCUGGUAGUGGGGGAUAACGUCCGGAAACGGGCGCUAAUACCGCAUACGUCCUGAGGGAGAAAGUGGGGGAUCUUCGGACCUCACGCUAUCAGAUGAGCCUAGGUCGGAUUAGCUAGUUGGUGGGGUAAAGGCCUACCAAGGCGACGAUCCGUAACUGGUCUGAGAGGAUGAUCAGUCACACUGGAACUGAGACACGGCCCAGACUCCUACGGGAGGCAGCAGUGGGGAAUAUUGGACAAUGGGCGAAAGCCUGAUCCAGCCAUGCCGCGUGUGUGAAGAAGGUCUUCGGAUUGUAAAGCACUUUAAGCUGGGAGGAAGGGCAGUAAGUUAAUACCUUGCUGUUUUGACGUUACCAACAGAAUAAGCACCGGCUAACUUCGUG